UGGGGAAUAUUGCACAAUGGGGGAAACCCUGAUGCAGCGACGCCGCGUGGAGGAUGACGGUUUUCGGAUUGUAAACUCCUGUUAAGUGGGAAGAAUGACCGUAGUUUAAUAAACUACGGGGGUGACGGUACCACUAGAGAAAGCACCGGCUAACUUCGUGCCAGCAGCCGCGGUAAUACGAGGGGUGCAAGCGUUAUUCGGAGUUACUGGGCGUAAAGAGCGCGUAGGCGGUUUGUUAGGUUGGUUGUUAAAUUCCUUGGCUCAACUGAGGAUCAGCAGCCGAAACUGGCGAACUAGAGGACAAGAGAGAGAGGUGGAAUUCUCGGAGUAGCGGUAAAAUGCGUAGAUCUCGAGAGGAAUAUCGGUUGCGAAGGCGGCCUCUUGGCUUGUAUCUGACGCUAAAGCGCGAAAGCGUGGGGAGCAAACAGG
rnacentral:rRNA from 1 species